rnacentral:lncRNA from 1 species
UUCCGGCUUCUUCUCCUCCUCAGCUGGUGGUUUUGGGAUUGGGGAGAGAAGCUCAACUUGUCUAUGACUCUUCCUCUGAACUCUCUCAAGAACCUUGAUUGGAUCAGCCUUCUCUCCCUUGACAACCACCUUGUGACUCUUGCAAUCUGUGCUCACAUCUUCCACCCCUGAAAAAACAAACAUCAUCAAUUAAUUCUCAUAGACGCAUUGAAACAGACACAUUACACAUACAUGGCAAAUCUGAAAGAAAGUUGAAGAACAAUAGAAGAAGUACAAACCUUGAAAGCCUUUGAGGCACCUCUUGACCUUUCUAGCACAACCUUCACAAUGCAUAUAGACUCUGAGCACAAUUUCUUGAGGUGGUGGCGGAGGUGGCGGAGCAUCACCCUCUUUGGCCUCUUUGCCAUCCUUACCCUCUUCAGCUUUCUUCUCUUCCUUCUUCUCCUCAGCUGGUUUCUCUUCCUUCUUAUUCUCCUCAGCCUUCUUUUCCUCUUCAGGCUUUUUCACCUCCUCAGGCUUCUUCUCCUCCAUUUUCUUCUCCUCGGGCUUCUUCUCCUUCUGAACAAACACAAACCCAACUCUCCCAAUAAACAAAGAUGUAAACUAAACAAGCUUAUAAGUUCUGAAAGUGGGAAAACAAAUAUUAGAAAAAAGAUUGUAGGACCUCCCCCAUUGGUUUUAGGUCAGCUCGAGUAAAGAUUCAAUUGUUAAGGCGCUCUCUCUUUCUUGGGUGGUGGAGAUCAGCCUUUUCUUUCCUUCUUUCUUUCUCUUUAACUGUGCUAAAAUGUGUGCUGGUAGAGACUG